UUUCAUUUUGCUGUAUGCAAAAAAGAAACAUAUAUGUUUUUUUUAUUUAUUUAUAUUUUUUUAUAAAGUCAAUGGGAAACAGAUUUUAUUGUAUGUCAUAUAGCAGCAUCUGUCUUUUGGCAUUCAUUAAAAAAUGUUUUUUCCUUUUCAAGUGUAUAAAACAUAUAGGUUGAACGGAUACGGAAAUGAGGUGGCCCAGUACAGGAGUUGCCCUCCUGUACCCUUUUCAAUCCUGUGUGGCAGACUCUAUGUCAGUGCCCCCUGGGUCCACCACCCUUCUACAGAUGCCAAAUGUUUAACAGUGACUUAUGUUAUUAAUUUAUCUUUCUGAUGUUAAUGUGCCGUUAAAUGUGGUUACUAAGCCUUUGUAACCAAGGAAGGUGCCAGUGACCAGGUGACUUGUAGGUGACCUAUGGGAGUCUUCCCAAAUGCUCCCUUAUAUACUUGGGUGGAGCUAGUUUAGUUUCAGUUUAGACCUUGCUGAGGAGCAGUACAGUUAAGACCUGAGAGUGUCUGAUGUCCUGAGGGAGACCAAGGCCUAGUCACGCAGCCACGCUUCCACCAACCAUAAACCCCUUCAGGUGAAAGUCAAAUCCUGGAAAUGCUUACUCUGUGGCUGGUGAUUGGCUAAACAGGCAUUUCCUGAGAUGUGCAUUGGGAAGCGCUGGUCAGUAGUAACCAGGCAUCAAAACGGCAGUGGCUGGAGAUUGUGUGGGGCGCUAAAGCCAGACAACAAACCAUGAAGGGCCGAUUGAAGAGGACGAUUUCACAGGCAGCUGGAUUCAAUGAUGAGACAACAUUUCACCUCAGCAGAAAGGUCAAUCGCUACAACAUUAGAAUUUGGGGUUCAGAAAAACCAUGCGCCUUUAUUAAGUACAUGAAGGACUCUCCUAAAGUAAAUGUGUUUGUAAUCAGAAUUAAUAGGAGAAAUUGUCGGCUAUACGGGAGGACUGAAAGGUUCAAUGAGGUGUGGGAUCCGUGGCUGUCUUCCACCCACAGCCCCACUAUGUCACAUUGCCUAUCUUUAUAUUGAGCUAUGAGGUUGUCACCUACUGACCUAAUAGGAUUUCGUUCUCUUAUAAUGCGAUGUAUGGGCUCUGCGUGAAUAUAUUGUUUUGUUAACUGUUUGUAUAGGCCUUGCAGGCCGUUGUUUCUAGGUUUUACAAUGCACAUAUUGAUAUUCUGUAUUGAGAUUGCUAACCUUUUUCAAUAAAGCGUCUC